rnacentral:lncRNA from 1 species
GGCAACUUUAAUACUGGAGCAAAUGUAGGAGCUCAUCAUCAUAAAAUGUAUCAAUAACAUCUGAUACAAGUAUUCUAUAUGUGUUAGGUACUACUACAGUGGUAGCAGGUGAACCCUCCUUUAAUAGUCAUAUUUCAUUAAUAUACAGGGUCCAUUUUGACACAAGACAACAAUCCAGACUAAGAAUUUACCAAAGGUCAGAUCAUAAUGAAUACGGGUGUUAUAUGGACAGAGUCGAACUGAUCUCAGAUCAGCACUCAUACUCUGAUGGCGAAUUCUCUCUCUCCGAUCAUCCUUUCCAUAAUUUCAGAAUGUCACCAGGUGUGGAGGUGUAACCAGGGUGUAGUGCUGCUAGAGGUUUAAUUAAUAAAAUACUAUGUGAUCUUAACUCACCUGUCCAUCGUCUGCUGUGUCCCUUGUGUCAGAGGUGGAUUUGGAGGCCUUCCUGUUUUACACGUCAACAAAUGAAUGAAUGAAUGAAUGAAUAAUCAAGUUAAUAAAUUAAAAUGAUAAUGUGAAAUGACGGUCUUAGAAAGAUUCUCACCUGAACCACAUGAAGACAGAGAGACGGAGUAUGAUAAUCUGUGAUUCCUUCAGCUGAAGUCAUAACUGAGGUCUGUUUCUCUAAAGGUUCAACAAAAAGGUGGAUGAUAUGAAUACACAUGUUAUCAUAUAGUGGAGCUUGAAAUGAAAUAUCCUUGUAUUUGAAUCUCACAUUUUUUACCUGUACUUGUUGACUUUCUCUCAGAUAUGUGAUUCUCAGGGUGGAGUGACUCACUCUAUCCGAUAGUACUCUGAAUGACCACCAUUCCCAGGUUUCACACCAGACCAUCUAUAGGACCAUGAUGCUUUUAUGACUGUAUGACCUCUGGGAUAUGUGUUAGAACAGGACAGGUC